rnacentral:lncRNA from 10 species
GCUUUCCUGUAUUUAUUACUUCCUGAGGGAUUUUUCUGCACAGAAAGAGUAUGUAGGUGAGUGGGUUCUUGCAUCAUAGUGAUUCUAAAUGACUAGAAGUGAAGGGUCUGUCUGGCACAGCAGUUGGGGACCAGUACUGAGAUUUCAGGACUUCCGAUAUGACCGUCUUUGUGGAUCAGGCUGCCUUUACAUUCAAGGUCGGAAGCAGAGGGUAAUAAGGUGUAAUGGAAUGAGAAUGGAACAAGCACAGGAUCUGGAGACACAAGCCAGGUCUCCAGUCACUGCUUAGCCGGAGAUGAAUGGCUGGAGACCUUGGACACAAUGCUG